rnacentral:rRNA from 1 species
GACGAACGCUGGCGGCGUGCUUAACACAUGCAAGUCGAGCGGAAAGGCCCUUCGGGGUCCUCGAGCGGCGAACGGGUGAGUAACACGUGAGUAACCUGCCCUAGUCUUUGGGAUAACCCCGGGAAACCGGGGCUAAUACCGGAUAUGACCUGGUGCCGCAUGGGGUUGGGUGGCAAGUCUUUUCGGCCGGGGAUGGGCUCGCGGCCUAUCAGCUUGUUGGUGGAGUGAUGGCGUACCAAGUCGAUGACGGGUAGCCGGCAUGGGAGGGCGAACGGCCACACUGGGACUGAGCGACGGCCGAGACUCCUACGGGAGGCAGCAGUAGGAAAUAUUGCCCAACGGGCGGAAGCCUGAGGCAACGGCGCCGUGUGAGAGAUGAAGGACUUCGGGUUGUAAACCUCUUUCAGAAGGGACGAAGCGUGAGUGACGGUACCUGCAGAAGAAGCGACGGCCAACUACGUG